AUGAGAAAUCAGGCUAAUAAUUUGGUGAGUUUAAAACUGAGUCAGAGUAAUUUUGCAAAAUGUCUAUUUUGGACUGAAACUUUCCUGACCACAUAUCAGUUGUGUAGACAGAAGAGCGUUUCAGGGUCACAGGACAAGUGCAGUAGUGCCUAUGGUGUGGGCCAAGUCAUUUUCACCUUUGGACAUGAUUAUAAUAUCUCAGAAGUGAAGUCAAGUCUCCCUCCAGUGGCCGGAAGCCAGCCUUGUUGCGAAGACAUCCUUAUUAGAUGGUGCCAUGACUUUGGCCCCAUGCCCUCUUACUUGCGCCACCAACAAACCAGUGCAAAACCUGGGCCUGUUCACUGGCCUUGGAAUCAGCUCAUCUUUUCUUUCUUCUCUGCAGUACUUCUCAGUUUCCAGCCUUCCUGGUCAUCAAGAUUGAAGAAUCUCAGACUUAAAGAGCUGUCAGUGGAGACCAUGAAUGUGCCCUGCCACAAUACAAGGAGCUCUCAGCUAGAAGGUAGGAUUCUGUACCUGGAUUGGAUUAGGUUCUGCCUCUGCUUUUUCUGCAGUUCUGUGACCUUGAAGUAGUCGCUGAACAUCUCCGAGUCUCAGUCUCAUCUGAUAAAGUGUAGAUAGACUAGAGUCUCACCAGCCUUCCUUUUUAUUCACCAGCCUUCUAAUCCUCUGCACUCUUAUUCUCUGUUCUGCUUGACAAAAAGUUCUUCCCAAGUUGAUUAUGGCUUUUAUUUUGGAGAACAACAUGAAAAGAAACUCCCACUCAGGGCUGAGGUGGCAGCUGGCUUCUCAGUGAGAGAUAGGCGAGCUGACUUCAGGUGCAGUUUAUCACUGCCACCUCCUUUUUCUCUGCAUGGACACUAAUGUAUUUUGGACCGACUGUAUGGGUCUCUCUCUCGCCUAAGUCUUGAUAUCUACAGAGUCCACCAAAAAAUAUAUACACACUUCAGGAAAAGAAAAACUUGUAUAGGCCAGGGAUGUAG
rnacentral:lncRNA from 1 species